AUUCCAAUCGAACUCGGAGAUAGCUGGUUCUCCCCGAAAUAGCUUUAGGGCUAGCCUCGAUUUAGAUUACCGGGGGUAGAGCACUGAAUGGGCUAGGGGGCCACAAAGCUUACCGAACCCUAUCAAACUUCGAAUACCGGAUAAUUGAUGAUCGGGAGUCAGACAGUGUGAGAUAAGUUUCAUUGUCGAAAGGGAAACAGCCCAGAUCUACGACUAAGGUCCCAAAGUUCAAGUUAAGUGGAAAAGGAUGUGCAAUUGCGUAGACAACCAGGAUGUUGGCUUAGUAGCAGCCAUUCAUUCAAAGAGUGCGUAAUAGCUCACUGGUCGAGUGAUUGUGCGCCGAAAAUGUAACGGGGCUAAACUUGACACCGAAGUCUAGGCAGAAGGAAACUUCUGGGUAGGGGAGCAACGUGUACGGGCAGAAGCAGAAGCGGAAGCGACUGUGGACUGUACAGGAGAGAGAAUGCCGGCAUGAGUAGCGAGAGCAAAGUGAGAAUCUUUGCCGUCGAAAGCCUAAGGUUUCCUGAGGAAGGCUCGUCCUCUCAGGGUAAGUCGGGACCUAAGCCGAGGACAAUAGUCGUAGGCGAUGGACAAUCGGUUAAUAUUCCGAUACCGCCGAGCAACCGGAUGCAGUGACACAGAAGGAUAGGCAGAGCGUGGCGAUGGUAGACCACGUCCAAGCAGUGAGGCUGUUGUGUAGUGAAGUACGCACAACGGAAGGCUGGGCUGUGAUGGGGAACGAUUACGAUCGGUAAGCUGCUGAAUUCACGCUGGCGAGAAAAGCUGCUACGAAGCGAAGGCGCCCGUACCGCAAACCGACACAGGUAGGCGAGGAGAGAAUCCUAAGACGAGCGGGAGAACCCUUGUUAAGGAACUCGGCAAAAUGACUCCGUAACUUAGGGAGAAGGAGUGCCCAGGAAUGGGCCGCAGAGAAUAGACCCAAGCGACUGUUUACCAAAAACACAGGUCUGUGCGAAGUAGAGAUACGACGUAUACGGGCUGACACCUGCCCAGUGCCGGAAGGUUAAGGGGAAAUGUUAGGGCAACCGAAGCAUGGAACUUAAGCCCCGGUGAACGGCGGCCGUAACUAUAACGGUCCUAAGGUAGCGAAAUUCCUUGUCGGGUAAG
rnacentral:rRNA from 1 species